rnacentral:rRNA from 1 species
AUUGAACGCUGGCGGUAUGCCUUACACAUGCAAGUCGAACGGUAGAGGGGCAACCCUUGAGAGUGGCGAACGGGUGAGUAAUACAUCGGAACGUGCCCAGUCGUGGGGGAUAACGUAGCGAAAGCUACGCUAAUACCGCAUACGACCUGAGGGUGAAAGCGGGGGAUCGCAAGACCUCGCGCGAUUGGAGCGGCCGAGGGCAGAUUAGGUAGUUGGUGGGGUAAAGGCCUACCAAGCCUGCGAUCUGUAGCUGGUCUGAGAGGACGACCAGCCACACUGGGGCUGAGACACGGCCCAGACUCCUACGGGAGGCAGCAGUGGGGAAUUUUGGACAAUGGGCGAAAGCCUGAUCCAGCCAUACCGCGUGCUGGAAGAAGGCCUUCGGGUUGUAAACCGCUUUUGUCAGGGAAGAAAUCUUCUGGGUUAAUACCUCGGGAGGAUGACGGUACCUGAAGAAUAAGCACCGGCUAACUACGUGCCAGCAGCCGCCGUAAAAC